AUUACAACCUCGCAUUAAACCUCACUGUUCGCAACCCCAACAAGCGAAUCGGAGUUUACUACGACGUCAUUGAAGCUUCCUCCUUUUACAAAGACCAGAGGCUAAAUACCCAGUGGCUGCCGCCGUUCUACCAAGGCCACAAAACCACCACCGUCCUCAGCCCCGACUUCGCCGGGCAGCCGGUGGUGCUUCUGGCCGGAGAGAAGCUUGCAGAGUUCAACGCCGAGAAACUUGCCGGCGCCUUCGACGUUGACGUGAAGCUCCGUCUCCAGCUGAGGUUGAAGUUCGGCGCGGUGAGGAUCGGGAAGUUCAAGCCAAAGGUUAACUGCGAAAUGAAGGUUCCGUUGAAAUCGAAUGCAAACUCCUUUACUUUCUUUCAGACCACUGGCUGCGAUUUCGAUUUUUGAUUGAACUCUGUUCGGUUUUGACUCAGUCAACUCUUUGCAGAUUUUUUUUGACUGAGUCAACUCUAUACUUAUUCUGAUUUUUUCCUUCAUAUUGUAUUUUUUUAUUGUUUUUGUUUCUAUGUUUAUAUACUUUACGUUUUGUAGUUG
rnacentral:misc_RNA from 1 species